rnacentral:lncRNA from 10 species
UAUAAUUAGUGUAUAAUGAGCAGUGAGACGACUGGAGGUCACUUUCAUCGCCAUCUUGGUUUUGGUGGGUUUUGGACAGCUUCUUUACGCAUGCUGUUUUAUCAGCAAGGUCUUUGUGACCUGUAUCUUGUGCCGACCUCCUAUCUCAUCCUGUGACUAGGAAUGCCUUAACCUCCUGGAAUGCAGCUCAUGUCACCCUGCUUGCACAUGGAAGGGAGGCCUGAGAGGCUGCAGAAUGGCCCUGGAGAAGGCAAGAGACAUCAUCUGGUUGGCCUGGAGUGCACGUCUGUGAGAGACUUUGGGGCAGUUCUCUCUUCUCUAUGCUAGAGCCAUUGAUGCCCUGUGCACUUCAUUGCCUUUGACCAUCAUUCCUUGCUCCUGGAAUGCCACCUCCUCUUUGCCACAGUUAAUAAAACCAGCUGAAGCCUC